CCUACGGGUGGCAGCAGUGGGGGAUAUUGCACAAUGGGGGAAACCCUGAUGCAGCGACGCCGCGUGGGUGAAGAAGCGCCUCGGCGCGUACAGCCCUGUCAGCAGGGAAGAAAAUGACGGUACCUGAAGAAGAAGCCCCGGCUAACUACGUGCCAGCAGCCGCGGUAAUACGUAGGGGGCAAGCGUUAUCCGGAUUUACUGGGUGUAAAGGGGGCGCAGACGGCGAUGCAAGCCAGGAGUGAAAGCCCGGGGCCCAACCCCGGGACUGCUCUUGGAACUGCGUGACUAGAGUGCAGGAGGGGCAGGCGGAAUUCCUGGUGUAGCGGUGAAAUGCGUAGAUAUCAGGAGGAACACCGGUGGCGAAGGCGACCUGCUGGACUGCAACUGACGUUGAGGCCCGAAAGCGUGGGGAGCAAACAGGAGUAGAUACCCCAGUAGUC
rnacentral:rRNA from 1 species